rnacentral:rRNA from 1 species
UACGUAGGUGACGAGCGUUGUCCGGAUUUACUGGGCGUAAAGAGCGCGCAGGCGGUCGUUCAAGUCGAGUGUGAAAGCCCCCGGCUCAACUGGGGAGGGUCACUCGAUACUGAUCGACUCGAAGGCAGGAGAGGGAAGUGGAAUUCCCGGUGUAGUGGUGAAAUGCGUAGAUAUCGGGAGGAACACCAGUGGCGAAGGCGACUUCCUGGCCUGUUCUUGACGCUGAGGCGCGAAAGCUAGGGGAGCAAACGGA